UACAGAGGGGGCAAGCGUUAUUCGGAAUUAUUGGGCGUAAAGGGCGCGUAGGCGGCUUGGCAAGUGGAUGGUGAAAAUCCCUCGGCUUAACCGAGGAACUGCCCGUCCAAAACUGCUUCGCUUGAGACCGGGGAGAGGUGAGUGGAAUUUCCCAGUGUAGCGGUGAAAUGCGUAGAUAUUUGGGAGGAACACCAGUGGCGAAGGCGGCUCACUGGACCGGUACUGACGCUGAUGCGCGAAAGCGUGGGGAGCAAACGGG
rnacentral:rRNA from 1 species